GGUUAAGUGACUAAGCGUACACGGUGGAUGCCUGGGCAGUCAGAGGCGAUGAAGGACGUACUAACUUGCGAUAAGCGCAGAUAAGGCAGUAAGAGCCGUUUGAGUCUGCGAUUUCCGAAUGGGGAAACCCAACUGCAUAAGCAGUUACUGUUAACUGAAUACAUAGGUUAACAGAGCAAACCGGGGGAACUGAAACAUCUAAGUACCCCGAGGAGAAGAAAUCAACCGAGAUUCCGGUAGUAGCGGCGAGCGAACCUGGAUUAGCCCUUAAGCACUCGGUGAAGUAGGUGAACAAGCUGGAAAGCUUGGCGAUACAGGGUGAUAGCCCCGUAACCGACGCUUCAUCGAGCGUGAAAUCGAGUAGGGCGGGACACGUGAUAUCCUGUCUGAAUAUGGGGGGACCAUCCUCCAAGGCUAAAUACUCCUGACUGACCGAUAGUGAACCAGUACCGUGAGGGAAAGGCGAAAAGAACCCCUGUGAGGGGAGUGAAAUAGAACCUGAAACCGUGUACGUACAAGCAGUAGGAGCACCUUCGUGGUGUGACUGCGUACCUUUUGUAUAAUGGGUCAGCGACUUAUAUUCAGUGGCAAGGUUAACCGUAUAGGGGAGCCGUAGCGAAAGCGAGUCUUAACUGGGCGCUCAGUCUCUGGAUAUAGACCCGAAACCGGGUGAUCUAGCCAUGGGCAGGUUGAAGGUUGAGUAACAUCAACUGGAGGACCGAACCGACUAAUGUUGAAAAAUUAGCGGAUGACUUGUGGCUAGGGGUGAAAGGCCAAUCAAACUCGGAGAUAGCUGGUUCUCCCCGAAAGCUAUUUAGGUAGCGCCUCGGACGAAUACUACUGGGGGUAGAGCACUGUUAAGGCUAGGGGGUCAUCCCGACUUACCAACCCUUUGCAAACUCCGAAUACCAGUAAGUACUAUCCGGGAGACACACGGCGGGUGCUAACGUCCGUCGUGGAGAGGGAAACAACCCAGACCGCCAGCUAAGGUCCCAAAGUAUUGCUAAGUGGGAAACGAUGUGGGAAGGCUCAGACAGCUAGGAUGUUGGCUUAGAAGCAGCCAUCAUUUAAAGAAAGCGUAAUAGCUCACUAGUCGAGUCGGCCUGCGCGGAAGAUGUAACGGGGCUAAGCAAUACACCGAAGCUGCGGCAAUGUCUUUUAGACAUUGGGUAGGGGAGCGUUCUGUAAGCCGUUGAAGGUGAAUCGUAAGGUUUGCUGGAGGUAUCAGAAGUGCGAAUGCUGACAUGAGUAACGACAAAGGGGGUGAAAAACCUCCUCGCCGGAAGACCAAGGGUUCCUGUCCAACGUUAAUCGGGGCAGGGUGAGUCGACCCCUAAGGUGAGGCCGAAAGGCGUAAUCGAUGGGAAACGGGUUAAUAUUCCCGUACUUCUGACUAUUGCGAUGGGGGGACGGAG
rnacentral:rRNA from 1 species